UUAGGAAUUUUGCACAAUGGCCGAAAGGCUGAUGCAGCAACGCCGCGUGGGGGAAGAAGGUCUUCGGAUCGUAAACCUCUUUUCCAGGGGAAGAUAGUGACGGUACCCUGGGAAUAAGCCCCGGCUAACUACGUGCCAGCAGCCGCGGUAAUACGUAGGGGGCGAGCGUUGUCCGGAUUUAUUGGGCGUAAAGAGCGCGUAGGCGGCUCUUCAAGUCGUGCGUGAAAUACUCCGGCUCAACUGGAGUGAGCCGUGCGAUACUGGGGGGCUUGAGGUCGGAAGGGGAAAGUGGAAUUCCCGGUGUAGUGGUGGAAUGCGUAGAUAUCGGGAGGAACACCAGUGGCGAAGGCGGCUUUCUGGACCGAUCCUGACGCUGAGGCGCGAAAGCGUGGGAAGCAAACUGG
rnacentral:rRNA from 2 species